AAGUAAAAGACAGCUGACAUAAAGAGAUUCACAAGAUAAAAUACUUUAUCUUGUGAAUCUCUUAAUGUCAGCUGUCUUUUACAU